rnacentral:rRNA from 1 species
GACGAACGCUGGCGGCGUGCUUAACACAUGCAAGUCGAACGGAAAGGCCCUGCUUUUGUGGGGUGCUCGAGUGGCGAACGGGUGAGUAACACGUGAGUAACCUGCCCUUGACUUUGGGAUAACUUCAGGAAACUGGGGCUAAUACCGGAUAGGAGCUCCUGCUGCAUGGUGGGGGUUGGAAAGUUUCGGCGGUUGGGGAUGGACUCGCGGCUUAUCAGCUUGUUGGUGGGGUAGUGGCUUACCAAGGCUUUGACGGGUAGCCGGCCUGAGAGGGUGACCGGCCACAUUGGGACUGAGAUACGGCACAGACUCCUACGGGAGGCAGGAGUGGGGAAUAGUGCACAAUGGGCGGAAGCAUGGUGCAGCAACGCCGCGUGCGGGAUGACGGCCUUCGGGUUGUAAACCGCUUUCGCCUGUGACGAAGCGUGAGUGACGGUAAUGGGUAAAGAAGCACCGGCUAACUACGUG